rnacentral:rRNA from 1 species
GGUCAAGUGAAUAAGUGCAUCAGGCGGAUGCCUUGGCGAUGAUAGGCGACGAAGGACGUGUAAGCCUGCGAAAAGCGCGGGGGAGCUGGCAAUAAAGCUAUGAUUCCGCGAUGUCCGAAUGGGGAAACCCACUGCAUUCUGUGCAGUAUCCUAAGUUGAAUACAUAGGCUUAGAGAAGCGAACCCGGAGAACUGAACCAUCUAAGUACCCGGAGGAAAAGAAAUCAACCGAGAUUCCGCAAGUAGUGGCGAGCGAACGCGGAGGAGCCUGUACGUAAUAACUGUCGAGAUAGAAGAACAAGCUGGGAAGCUUGACCAUAGCGGGUGACAGUCCCGUAUUCGAAAUCUCAACAGCGGUACUAAGCGUACGAAAAGUAGGGCGGGACACGUGAAAUCCUGUCUGAAUAUGGGGGGACCAUCCUCCAAGGCUAAAUACUCAUCAUCGACCGAUAGUGAACCAGUACCGUGAGGGAAAGGCGAAAAGAACCCCGGGAGGGGAGUGAAACAGAACCUGAAACCUGAUGCAUACAAACAGUGGGAGCGCCCUAGUGGUGUGACUGCGUACCUUUUGUAUAAUGGGUCAACGACUUACAUUCAGUAGCGAGCUUAACCGGAUAGGGGAGGCGUAGGGAAACCGAGUCUUAAUAGGGCGAUGAGUUGCUGGGUGCAGACCCGAAACCGAGUGAUCUAUCCAUGGUCAGGUUGAAGGUGCCGUAACAGGUACUGGAGGACCGAACCCACGCAUGUUGCAAAAUGCGGGGAUGAGCUGUGGGUAGGGGUGAAAGGCUAAACAAACUCGGAGAUAGCUGGUUCUCCCCGAAAACUAUUUAGGUAGUGCCUCGAGCAAGACACUGAUGGGGGUAAAGCACUGUUAUGGCUAGGGGGUUAUUGCAACUUACCAACCCAUGGCAAACUCAGAAUACCAUCAAGUGGUUCCUCGGGAGACAGACAGCGGGUGCUAACGUCCGUUGUCAAGAGGGAAACAACCCAGACCGCCGGCUAAGGUCCCAAAUGAUAGAUUAAGUGGUAAACGAAGUGGGAAGGCACAGACAGCCAGGAUGUUGGCUUAGAAGCAGCCAUCAUUUAAAGAAAGCGUAAUAGCUCACUGGUCGAGUCGUCCUGCGCGGAAGAUGUAACGGGGCUCAAAUCUAUAACCGAAGCUGCGGAUGCCGGUUUACCGGCAUGGUAGGGGAGCGUUCUGUAGGCUGAUGAAGGUGCAUUGUAAAGUGUGCUGGAGGUAUCAGAAGUGCGAAUGUUGACAUGAGUAGCGAUAAAGCGGGUGAAAAGCCCGCUCGCCGAAAGCCCAAGGUUUCCUACGCAACGUUCAUCGGCGUAGGGUAAGUCGGCCCCUAAGGCGAGGCAGAAAUGCGUAGUCGAUGGGAAACAGGUUAAUAUUCCUGUACUUGAUUCAAAUGCGAUGUGGGGACGGAGAAGGUUAGGUUGGCAAGCUGUUGGAAUAGCUUGUUUAAGCCGGUAGGUGGAAGACUUAGGCAAAUCCGGGUUUUCUUAACACCGAGAAGUGAUGACGAGUGUCUACGGACACGAAGCAACCGAUACCACGCUUCCAGGAAAAGCCACUAAGCUUCAGUUUGAAUCGAACCGUACCGCAAACCGACACAGGUGGGCAGGAUGAGAAUUCUAAGGCGCUUGAGAGAACUCGGGAGAAGGAACUCGGCAAAUUGAUACCGUAACUUCGGGAGAAGGUAUGCCCUCUAAGGUUAAGGACUUGCUCCGUAAGCCCCGGAGGGUCGCAGAGAAUAGGUGGCUGCGACUGUUUAUUAAAAACACAGCACUCUGCCAACACGAAAGUGGACGUAUAGGGUGUGACGCCUGCCCGGUGCCGGAAGGUUAAUUGAAGAUGUGCAAGCAUCGGAUCGAAGCCCCGGUAAACGGCGGCCGUAACUAUAACGGUCCUAAGGUAGCGAAAUUCCUUGUCGGGUAAGUUCCGACCCGCACGAAUGGCGUAACGAUGGCCACACUGUCUCCUCCCGAGACUCAGCGAAGUUGAAGUGGUUGUGAAGAUGCAAUCUACCCGCUGCUAGACGGAAAGACCCCGUGAACCUUUACUGUAGCUUUGCAUUGGACUUUGAAGUCACUUGUGUAGGAUAGGUGGGAGGCUUGGAAGCAGAGACGCCAGUCUCUGUGGAGUCGUCCUUGAAAUACCACCCUGGUGUCUUUGAGGUUCUAACCCAGACCCGUCAUCCGGGUCGGGGACCGUGCAUGGUAGGCAGUUUGACUGGGGCGGUCUCCUCCCAAAGCGUAACGGAGGAGUUCGAAGGUUACCUAGGUCCGGUCGGAAAUCGGACUGAUAGUGCAAUGGCAAAAGGUAGCUUAACUGCGAGACCGACAAGUCGGGCAGGUGCGAAAGCAGGACAUAGUGAUCCGGUGGUUCUGUAUGGAAGGGCCAUCGCUCAACGGAUAAAAGGUACUCCGGGGAUAACAGGCUGAUUCCGCCCAAGAGUUCAUAUCGACGGCGGAGUUUGGCACCUCGAUGUCGGCUCAUCACAUCCUGGGGCUGUAGUCGGUCCCAAGGGUAUGGCUGUUCGCCAUUUAAAGUGGUACGUGAGCUGGGUUUAAAACGUCGUGAGACAGUUUGGUCUCUAUCUGCAGUGGGCGUUGGAAGUUUGACGGGGGCUGCUCCUAGUACGAGAGGACCGGAGUGGACGAACCUCUGGUGUACCGGUUGUAACGCCAGUUGCAUAGCCGGGUAGCUAAGUUCGGAAGAGAUAAGCGCUGAAAGCAUCUAAGCGCGAAACUCGCCUGAAGAUGAGACUUCCCUUGCGGUUUAACCGCACUAAAGGGUCGUUCGAGACCAGGACGUUGAUAGGUGGGGUGUGGAAGCGCGGUAACGCGUGAAGCUAACCCAUACUAAUUGCCCGUGAGGCUUGACUCU